rnacentral:lncRNA from 1 species
AAGUCGCAGCCAGGCGCUCAGCCCUGAGGCCAGUGUGGAUGAAGGUGGUGUAUUUGAGAGCCUGAAGGCAGAGCCGGCCUCCCCCCCUACGCUCUUCUCAGGCCUGGCAGGUGGCCUUCCUGCCAGUCCCUUCCCAGCAGGCCUGGUGCUGGGCUCCACAGCCGGUGGCGGGGAUGUCUUCAUCCCUAUGCCGGCCACCAGGGAUGAGGCCGGUGGCCGCAGCACCGAAGGAAGCACCUACCACCACCGCCAGGCCCAUCACCACUUCCACCACGGUGCCCACCGCGGGGGCUCCCUGCUGCAGCACGUGGGAGGGGACCACCGCGGACACUCGGAGGAAGGGGUCGACGAGCAGCCCGGAACUCCGGCACCCGCUCUGUCUGAGCUGAAGGCUGUGAUCUGCUGGCUUCAGAAAGGACUGCCCUUUAUCCUCAUCCUGCUGGCCAAACUGUGUUUCCAGCACAAGCUGGGUGAGUCCCACUGGGCCCUGAGCUCCGGGAAAGGACUGCCCGUGCUCAGAGAGAGCCAUGUCCGACCGUGCAUCAAGGACUGCGCAUGCCCAGAGCCAGGACCAGCCAGUAGAGGAAUUGUGGUGCACGGUGCUUGAGUGCAUGGUGUUUUGGGUCAGCCCUGGGUUCACAUUUCCAGCCUAACUGUAUGACCUUGAACAAGUGGCCUGGCCUCUCUGACCCUCUGUUUUCUCCUCCGUCCAGUGGGGUUGAGAUAAAAACUUCUUUAGCUGGGCUGUCAGUAGAAAGGAAAGAGAUGGUUCGGCUUUGGGGAGCACAGCCCCAUCCCUUCCUAGCUAAGUACACUGGGUGUUUUAUUU